AUCCAACUGAUGAGUCCCGAAUAGGACAAAAUGCACAUCCUGGAU
rnacentral:hammerhead_ribozyme from 1 species